AAUGUACAGGUACAAUGAGAGAGAGGCAGGUGUAUCAAUUGACUCGUCUUGGCAACGUCUGCCAUAUCAGUCUUGUCCCGUGAAUCAAUCAUAGGGUAGGUAUACCCUAGGUAUUGUAUUGGAAUUGAACGGCACCUGUAUACAAUCCAUACUACGUAUACGUAGGUAGCUAUCGUAUACGGUACAUAUCCCCGAUGCAGACUCCAGUCCGACUCAAACGUCGCAAGCGUCCGUCGAAGCCUUGACAUGUUGGAAAAAGGAUAAUUGUCAGCUCGGAGAAUAAGAUGAGUGUCUGGCAUGACUAACUGACAGACUGACAGACUGACCGACCGGGGGACCUGUCUAUUUCACUCUUCCGGGUUGAUUACUCCGUCGUGGAAUUUUCAUGCAUGUCAAGUAAAAGUAUCUGUACCGUUUAUUGUCGAUCCAUUAGUUACCAGUGCGUACCUACAGAGGUAGGAGCAAGAGGGAUGAAUGCAUCCGUGUUAAAAAAAAAAAAAAUCAAUAUCUUUGGUGGAGAUGGAAAUCGUGUUGCCAUCUGUCAGUAUACUAUUCAGUACCGGUAACCCUACUACGCCAGCAAGAUGACAAGACAGUGGAAUCCGAUUGAUGGACAAACUCGCCGGCCACUGUCGAAGUCACCACACCACAACUCCAUAGACAGAUUACAAACAUUUUACAGUCUGGUUCUGGAGUACGCAUUGAGCCCGUCGUAAGAAAUUAAAAUACAGUCCGAUGCAUGACGCCAGCAGGGAUUACACAUUCAUAGCUACAUUUUGGCUGAUGCGAUGCAAUGAAGCAGCGCGUGUGUGUGUCUGCCGACCGUCUUUUUCCUUGUCGCUGUCAGACUCACUCCAAAGAAGACUGCUCGUUCGCAUGAAAUUUCGUUAUUGUCUUACCUACCCAGGUAGGGUAGUGUCAAGCAUGUCGAGCUUGGACUGCAUACCUACUACAUACAUACAUACACAUACAGACAUGACAGAAAAAAUAAAAAAUAAAAAAAAAAAAAAAAAAAAAAAAAAAAAACGCACGGAGUGAGUGUAUACCCCAUAUUUCAACGUCGAGUUUACAUGUCUUGGUCGAUUGAUUGUAGUAGGGACGUUGUCCUUGAGAAUGGACGCUUGACGGCGAAAUUGCCACGAUGAAAAAUCCAUGAGCAUUGAUCAGCGUGCAAAUAUUUCGUUCUUGUCGUGAUGUCGGUCAAGCAACGUUGUACAUAGUUUUGCGGCGAAUGAUUGGCCGACACAACGAGGGAGCCAAGUUCCAGGCCUGUCACAUUCCGGUGUUGGGAUCGAGUCACAUUCUACACUGUAGUUACCCGUAAGUUACUAGAGAUGGAGAUGGCCGGUUUUUCCGGAUGUAUGAGUGAGUGAGUGAGUGAGUGAGUAAGCGAGCGAGUGAGUGAGUCUUGGCUUGAUCGUGCGAUGACAUAACCAUGUACACUGAUUCGAAGCUUCUCUCCGUUGUUGGGAUCAUUAAGCGCUCUACUAUGAGGCGGGAACAUUGGUGGGCAAUAAUAAUAACUCACUAUGUGGACGCAAAAACCAACAUACUCUGUAACUAGUACAUACCGUAGUAGAUAUUCUUCAAAGUAACCUUACGGCACCCCAGUCAAUAACCGCCCAACCAACUUGACUCUCAAUUGACGUGUGUUAACUGGCUUAUCAACAUAACAAUCCUACCCGGCCAUGCACAAAUCAGCAUGCCAUUACCAUCUGAGCAUCAAGGGCGACAAUCAGAGUCCGAUCGAGAAAUCCUGACAUACGUUAGUUAGGAAAUAAAGUAAACUAAGCCUGUUUUUGGAGAAAGCUCUGAGAAAACAGUCAAAACACAUCCCAAAAUGAAAGAAGGAGGGAGGAGGGGCAAAAUGAUCUGCAGACUAAAGAGGUUUAAUGUAGAGGGCUAAGGCUGUUUGCCAUGUGUUGGUCACAUCGCAGAGCGAGCCGCGACUGACUUUGAGUAUGAGUGUGAUCAAGGACAACGCAAUUCUCAGCCACUAGGUACGCAACUUCCUUGCAUGGAUAGUUACUACGAUCCUUUGACUCGACACGCGACCAGCAAGGCACAUGGAUGUUCAACAAAGCCGGUCCUGUACUUAACUUAGUACGUACUGCAUACUCUCUCUCUCUGCCAGUAACUAUGUAGUACACACGGAGUCAGUCGUAGGAAUGCAGAAUGCAAUGUUGUGAUGUGAUGGAUGCCAGGUGGCUCUGAGCCUUGAUCAACCACAUGCAUCUCCAGCGCGCACGAAGGAAUGUCAAUUAUCCAUAUUUCCUUGCGAACUCGCCCCUCUGAUUGGCCGGACACGAAACCACUGAAUAAUUCGACUUGCCAGUUGCCACCACGUACAUACGUAGUUACUACUACGUACUAUGAUGAUUACAGACGUGCUCGCCAGAUCUUCCGUCUGUCCACCAGAACGGCUCUAAACCACAAUAGAAAACGCAGUGCUUGGCGGGGGACUCAUGAUAGGUUCCUUGCGUGCCGACCAGCACACUAGCACCGUCUAGCAGCGGGCCAGACAGGAACUAAGUUAACUAAGUCAACUAAGCAAACUAAACUCCCUGGCCUGCCGCCUAAGAUUCUUCUGAAAUGCCACGUGAAAUACUCUGUGUGCCGCGAGUGCUCACUAGUUAGCAGUAUCCCAGCAAGGUGACAUGGCACAG
rnacentral:lncRNA from 1 species